rnacentral:rRNA from 1 species
GAUGAACGCUGGCGGCGUGCUUAACACAUGCAAGUCGAACGGUAAGGCCCUUCGGGGUACACGAGUGGCGAACGGGUGAGUAACACGUGGGUGAUCUGCCCUGCACUUCGGGAUAAGCCUGGGAAACUGGGUCUAAUACCGGAUAGGACCACUGCCUGCAUGGGUGGUGGUGGAAAGCUUUUGCGGUGUGGGAUGGGCCCGCGGCCUAUCAGCUUGUUGGUGGGGUGAUGGCCUACCAAGGCGACGACGGGUAGCCGGCCUGAGAGGGUGACCGGCCACACUGGGACUGAGAUACGGCCCAGACUCCUACGGGAGGCAGCAGUGGGGAAUAGUGCACAAUGGGCGCAAGCCUGAUGCAGCGGCGCCGCGUGAGGGAUGACGGCCUUCGGGUUGUAAACCUCUUUCAGCACCGACGAAGCGCAAGUGACGGUAGGUGCAGAAGGAGGACCGGCCAACUACGUGCCAGCAGCCGCAGUAA